UGGGGGAUAUUGCACAAUGGGCGAAAGCCUGAUGCAGCGACGCCGCGUGGGGGAUGAAGGCUUUCGGGUUGUAAACCUCUUUCGCUAUCGAACAAGGCCCGCUUAGGGUGGGUUGAGGGUAGGUGGAGAAGAAGCGCCGGCUAACUACGUGCCAGCAGCCGCGGUAAUACGCAGGGCGCGAGCGUUGUCCGGAAUUAUUGGGCGUAAAGGGCUUGUAGGCGGCUUGUUGCGCCUGCUGUGAAAACGCGGGGCUUAACGUCGCGCGUGCAGUGGGUACGGGCAGGCUUGAGUGUGGUAGGGGUGACUGGAAUUCCAGGUGUAGCGGUGGAAUGCGCAGAUAUCUGGAGGAACACCGAUGGCGAAGGCAGGUCACUGGGCCAUUACUGACGCUGAGGAGCGAAAGCAUGGGUAGCGAGCAGG
rnacentral:rRNA from 1 species